rnacentral:misc_RNA from 1 species
GAUGAAGAACGCAGCGAAAUGCGAUAAGUAAUGUGAAUUGCAGAAUUCAGUGAAUCAUCGAAUCUUUGAACGCACAUUGCGCCCGCCAGUAUUCUGGCGGGCAUGCCUGUUCGAGCGUCAUUUCAACCAUCAAGCCCCCGGCUUGUGUUGGGGACCUGCGGCUGCCGCAGGCCCUGAAAACCAGUGGCGGGCUCGCUAGUCACUCCGAGCGUAGUAAUACAUCUCGCUCAGGGCGUGCUGCGGGUUCCGGCCGUUAAAAAGCCUUAUUUACCCAAGGUUGACCUCGGAUCAGGUAGGAAGACCCGCUGAACUUAAGCAUAUCAAUGAGCGGAGGA